rnacentral:rRNA from 1 species
AUUGAACGCUGGCGGCAGGCCUAACACAUGCAAGUCGAGCGAGCGGCGGACGGGUGAGUAAUGUAUGGGGACUGCCCGAUAGAGGGGGAUAACUACUGGAAACGGUAGCUAAUACCGCAUACUAUCGGAUAACCCAUAUGGGAUUAGCUAGUAGGUGAGGUAAUGGCUAACAUAGGCGACGAUCCCUAGCUGGUCUGAGAGGAUGAUCAGCAACACUGGUACUGAGACACGGACCAGAAGACUACGGAGGGAGCAGUGGGGAAGAUGGGAAAAGGGGCGAAAGCCUGAUGCAGCCAUGCCGCGUGUAGGAAGAAGGCACUAGGGUUGUAAAGUACUUUCAGUCGGGAGGCGUUACCGACAGAAGAAGCACCGGCUAACUCCGUGCCAGCAGCCGCGGUAAUAC